CUAUACUGCAGUCGACGCUUCUUUCCUCCCGAGUGCUUGCACUCAAUUGGAAAGAGGAGUGGCGGACGGGUGAGUAACACGUGGGUAACCUACCCAUCAGAGGGGGAUAACACUUGGAAACAGGUGCUAAUACCGCAUAACAGUUUAUGCCGCAUGGCAUAAGAGUGAAAGGCGCUUUCGGGUGUCGCUGAUGGAUGGACCCGCGGUGCAUUAGCUAGUUGGUGAGGUAACGGCUCACCAAGGCCACGAUGCAUAGCCGACCUGAGAGGGUGAUCGGCCACACUGGGACUGAGACACGGCCCAGACUCCUACGGGAGGCAGCAGUAGGGAAUCUUCGGCAAUGGACGAAAGUCUGACCGAGCAACGCCGCGUGAGUGAAGAAGGUUUUCGGAUCGUAAAACUCUGUUGUUAGAGAAGAACAAGGACGUUAGUAACUGAACGUCCCCUGACGGUAUCUAACCAGAAAGCCACGGCUAACUACGUGCCAGCAGCCGCGGUAAUACGUAGGUGGCAAGCGUUGUCCGGAUUUAUUGGGCGUAAAGCGAGCGCAGGCGGUUUCUUAAGUCUGAUGUGAAAGCCCCCGGCUCAACCGGGGAGGGUCAUUGGAAACUGGGAGACUUGAGUGCAGAAGAGGAGAGUGGAAUUCCAUGUGUAGCGGUGAAAUGCGUAGAUAUAUGGAGGAACACCAGUGGCGAAGGCGGCUCUCUGGUCUGUAACUGACGCUGAGGCUCGAAAGCGUGGGGAGCAAACAGGAUUAGAUACCCUGGUAGUCCACGCCGUAAACGAUGAGUGCUAAGUGUUGGAGGGUUUCCGCCCUUCAGUGCUGCAGCAAACGCAUUAAGCACUCCGCCUGGGGAGUACGACCGCAAGGUUGAAACUCAAAGGAAUUGACGGGGGC
rnacentral:rRNA from 1 species